GACAGUGUCUGGUGGGUAGUUUGACUGGGGCGGUCUCCUCCUAAAGAGUAACGGAGGAGCACGAAGGUUGGCUAAUCCUGGUCGGACAUCAGGAGGUUAGUGCAAUGGCAUAAGCCAGCUUGACUGCGAGCGUGACGGCGCGAGCAGGUGCGAAAGCAGGUCAUAGUGAUCCGGUGGUUCUGAAUGGAAGGGCCAUCGCUCAACGGAUAAAAGGUACUCCGGGGAUAACAGGCUGAUACCGCCCAAGAGUUCAUAUCGACGGCGGUGUUUGGCACCUCGAUGUCGGCUCAUCACAUCCUGGGGCUGAAGUAGGUCCCAAGGGUAUGGCUGUUCGCCAUUUAAAGUGGUACGCGAGCUGGGUUUAGAACGUCGUGAGACAGUUCGGUCCCUAUCUGCC
rnacentral:rRNA from 1 species